UCUUAGUUUUGAAAUUACCUAAAAUUACCAGAUCUCAUCUGAUCUUGGAAGCUAAGCAAGGUCAGCUCUGGUUAGUACUUGGAUGGGAAACCACCAAUGAAUAUCAAGUACUGUAGGCU
rnacentral:rRNA from 1 species